rnacentral:rRNA from 1 species
GACGAACGCUGGCGGCGUGCCUAAUACAUGCAAGUCGAGCGAAUCGAUGGGAGCUUGCUCCCUGAGAUUAGCGGCGGACGGGUGAGUAACACGUGGGCAACCUGCCUAUAAGACUGGGAUAACUUCGGGAAACCGGAGCUAAUACCGGAUACGUUCUUUUCUCGCAUGAGAGAAGAUGGAAAGACGGUUUACGCUGUCACUUAUAGAUGGGCCCGCGGCGCAUUAGCUAGUUGGUGAGGUAAUGGCUCACCAAGGCGACGAUGCGUAGCCGACCUGAGAGGGUGAUCGGCCACACUGGGACUGAGACACGGCCCAGACUCCUACGGGAGGCAGCAGUAGGGAAUCUUCCGCAAUGGACGAAAGUCUGACGGAGCAACGCCGCGUGAACGAAGAAGGCCUUCGGGUCGUAAAGUUCUGUUGUUAGGGAAGAACAAGUACCAGA